UUCAUCAAAAAAUGUAAAGUU
ensembl:piRNA 21ur-10982 ncRNA